AUUAGUCGGAUGUUGUUCUUGCAAGCAAGCACACCUCUUAUUUCGAUUUAUUAUUGUGUUGUCAAUAUUCAUGCCAGCGUGUGCUUUGAAUUGGUGCAGGAGCCAUACAAGGCUAAAAUGCCCAGGGAUCACUUUUCACUAUUUUCCUGCCGAUGCAAUUCGGCAAAAACGUGAAUAGCUGCAGUUAACUUGGAAAGACAAGAAAGAAUAUGACUGGAUGCCUGUGAAAACCAGCAGAGUAUGCUCUAUUCAGUCUAUCAAACAUGCUGGACGCUAGUCUUCAAUUGCCAGAAACAGUGGAGAAAAUUGUAGGCUAUAUAGCCGGCUUUGUAAGCCGAAAACUGCAAGCGAAAAUCAACUGUCCAGAAUGCUUAUCAUUGCUACCUGCUAAUGAAAAUUUGUAUUUUCACAAUCUGAUUAGUUUGAAAGAUUUCGAUGGUCUCUCGUACCCAUCUGUAGUGUUGUAUAAAAUAUGCACACGCACAGAAAUACUAAUAAGACAGAUAAUAAAAAUACAUGAUAACGGAAAAUCUGUCAGUAAUAUCUACACAGUGUUUUUCUAAAAUAAUUGACAAUGAAGAUAUUCUACGCUUACUAAAAAAACAGUCACCAGACAAUAAAUAAUGACCAUUUCUUCUUUUUUUAUAAAAUGUGUAAUGGUUGAAUUUCUCAGAAUCCGACUUCCCUACAUUGCGAAAAAAGAUGAUUUUUUAAUUUCUUCUAGGCAAAACUUACUAAAUUAAUUAUAUUUUUAAUUAAUUUUUGAAUUGAUUAAUUAUCUUAUAGAGUUUAUUAGAAAAAAAAAACUAAUAUAUAAACAUUAUACAAUGA